AGUAUUAUUAUACAAAAAAAAUUGUCAUCAAUCAGCGACAUAUUUCUUGGAAGGUUACUGAGAAAAAUCCUAUUUUCAGGCUGGAACACCUGGAAAAGUCAGGGAAUUACGGGUUCCAAAAAGCGUACGAACCCU